GGUGACCUGCGGAGGAUCAUUAUUGAAAUAAACCUGAUGAGUUGCUGCUGGUUCUCUAGGGAACAUGUGCACACUUGUCGUCUUUAUAUAUCUCCACCUGUGCACCUUUUGUAGACCUGGAUAUCUCUCUGAGUGCUAGCACUUAGGUUUGAGGAUUGACUUUAUGUCUGUCCUUAGAUUUCUGGGCCUAUGUUUCUUCAUAUACUCCAAUGUAUGUUAUUGAAUGUAAUAAUGGGCCUUUGUGCCUAUAAAGCUAUACAACUUUCAGCAACGGAUCUCUUGGCUCUCGCAUCGAUGAAGAACGCAGCGAAAUGCGAUAAGUAAUGUGAAUUGCAGAAUUCAGUGAAUCAUCGAAUCUUUGAACGCACCUUGCGCUCCUUGGUAUUCCGAGAAGCAUGYCUGUUUGAGUGUCAUUAAUAUAAUCAACCUCUUCAGCUUUUGCUUGUUGAGUUGUUGGANUGUGGGGGCCUUUCUUUUGCUGGACUCUCUCUCUGAGGUCAGCUCCCCUGAAAUACAUUAGCCGAACAAUUUGUGGACCGUUCAUUGGUGUGAUAACUAUCUACGCUAUUUGACGUGAAACAGUUCAGCUUCUAGUAGUCCAUUGACUUGGACAAAUCUUCAUUAAUGUGACCUCAAAUCAGGUAGGACUACCCGCUGAACUUA
rnacentral:rRNA from 1 species